GAUCCUGGCUCAGGAUGAACGCUAGCUACAGGCUUAACACAUGCGAGUCGAGGGGAAACGACAUCGAAAGCUUGCUUUUGAUGGGCGUCGACCGGCGCACGGGUGAGUAACGCGUAUCCAACCUGCCCACCACUUGGGAAUAACCUUGCGAAAGUAAGACUAAUGCCCAAUGAUAUCCCACGAAGGCAUCCGAAUGGGAUUAAAGAUUUAUCGGUGAUGGAUGGGGAUGCGUCUGAUUAG
rnacentral:rRNA from 1 species